CAGAAGUGGUAGCCUGGUCCAAUCACAGUGCUUCCCCGUAGGAUUGACUGAGACUGACAAAGAGGCAGAUCAGGGGAAGCACUGUGAUUGGACCAGGCUACCACUU